rnacentral:rRNA from 1 species
GACGAACGCUGGCGGCGUGCUUAACACAUGCAAGUCGAACGGAAAGGCCCUGCUUUUGUGGGGUGCUCGAGUGGCGAACGGGUGAGUAACACGUGAGUAACCUGCCCUUGACUUUGGGAUAACUUCAGGAAACUGGGGCUAAUACCGGAUAGGGGCUCCUGCUGCAUGGUGGGGGUUGGAAAGUUUCGGCGGUUGGGGAUGGACUCGCGGCUUAUCAGCUUGUUGGUGGGGUAGUGGCUUACCAAGGCUUUGACGGGUAGCCGGCCUGAGAGGGUGACCGGCCACAUUGGGACUGAGAUACGGCCCAGACUCCUACGGGAGGCAGCAGUGGGGAAUAUUGCACAAUGGGCGGAAGCCUGAUGCAGCAACGCCGCGUGCGGGAUGACGGCCUUCGGGUUGUAAACCGCUUUCGCCUGUGACAAAGCGUGAGUGACGGUAAUGGGUAAAGAAGCACCGGCUAACUACGUG